rnacentral:lncRNA from 1 species
GCAGUCUACCGUGGGAUACUAGGAUAAGUAUAGAGUUACUUAUCUUGUGUCUUGUGGAUAUCAGCUACAACCGUGGGACAGCUCGCAACAAUAUAAAGGGCUUGUAGAUCAAGUGAUUAAGAGGAGCAAAGUGUUGCUUGCCAGUCAGUAAACUGGGUUCAUUCCCGAGCCCAUUUGCGAUCCAUGUAAUUGUCUCCGUUUUCAUAUCAUACAAAAGAAGACUUUCCACUCCCCG